GACAGAGGUCCCGAGCGUUAGGCGGAAUCACUGGGCUUAAAGCGUGUGUAGGCGGAUUGGUAAGUACCUUGUGAAAUCCCACGGCUUAACCGUGGAACUGCUUGGUAUACUGCUUAUCCUGGGCCACUUAGGGGUUACCGGAACAAACGGUGGAGCGGUGAAAUGCGUAGAUAUCGUUUGGAACGCCAAUGGUGAAAACAGGUAACUGGGAGUGUGCCGACGCUGAGACACGAAAGCCAGGGGAGCGAAUGGG
rnacentral:rRNA from 1 species